CUCCGCCCCCUGGAUCCUUAAAGGCGCAGGCCUCCAACCUGGCUCCCAUUGCUGCCAACUCUUAGGCCGCUGUCGGAGGAUCCCGUUUAACCUGCGAGAGAACUUUCACUUUGCUAAAUUGAACCUGUGUCUGGGUCAGUUCCAACGAGCUCCUUUCUCUGUUUCAAAUACGCAUUGACUUCACCCAGCUGGAGCAAAGACUGGGACGUGGAGCGGGGUCCGUGGGGCCUUCCAGACUAGAUAAAUGUAAUGACUGUGACUCACCCACACGGUAAACAGCGUCUCAAGACCCUUCCAGCAACCCAAUAAUUCGUCCUCCAAUCUGUGGCCAACUUCCCCUAUCAGUCGCCUUUUGGUAUGAGGCGGCGGGAGAGACCUGGACUACGAGUCUUCACUCCUGGGUUCUCGUCCUAGCUUGAUGACACCUCCUGCCUGGCGUUCUCACACAGAUCCUACCAUAAUUGACUGACUGGAAAAUAGACUCAUGGAUCUGACAUCACCACCAUAAACUAAUGCUUGGAUGAUUCAAGCUGUCAGAGCCCUGGGACUUGAGACUUCCAGAAAAACUCCAGCCCCAAAGCAGAAGACUUCUAUGGAGAAAGAUGCUAAGCCACAAACAGGGCCAGCCAUACUCCUCAAGGACCAUGGAAGCAGCCCUCACUGGCAUUGAAUUUACAUCACUCAGGUCUAAACCUUCCUGGAUCCUGGAGAAUUCUCUGCACAGAGCCAUGGACCUCUCUCUCCAGCCUACGGGCUUUGGAUUUAUUUCUGACUGUUGGGAAAUCCCCAUCCCCAUCCUGCCUUCUGCUUUCAGCCCAGGCCCUGGCUUGGGUAAAACACAAUGAAGGAGCAGGUGACAUCUCAGGACAGAAAGGGCCAGGUCAGGGAAGUGCCUUCCAGGGAUUCACACCAGAGCUGGAGACAUGGUUGGGAUAUUAUGUUAGAGAAAAUGAAAGCUGGGGGAGCAGGAGGGACCUGCCUCGGGUCUCCAGAAAGUCAGUAACAGAGCCAAGGUAAGUCCCAGGAUGCCUGGCUCUCAUCGCAUCCACUCUAUCUCAGGGCCACCAAAGCCCUAACCCAUCAGAGUCCCCCUAACGUUCCUUCUCAUCUCUCUCUCUCUACCUCGAGACACUUAGUGCUGCCCCAAAAGAUUCUCAGUGUUCUCCAAAUACAUCAUCUGCUUUUAACUCCAUGCCUUUGCAUGCAAUACGCCUUUUUGUGCAUCCCCUUCUCCCACUUGUCUACUAGGUAAACCCCUACUCAUCCCUCAAGGCCCGUUCAAAUAAAUGUUUCCUUCCUUCAAACAAAGCCUAAACUCAGUUUAUCCAGAAUCCAUUCAUCUCUCUUUCCUCUGUGUUCUUAUAAGACUCUCUGUAUACACUGAUUUUAAU